UAGGGAAUAUUAGUUAAUGUGCGAAAGCGCGAACUAGCAACGCCGCGUGUGCGAUGAAGGCCUUCGGGUUGUAAAGCACUUUUCCAAGGGACGAGGAAGGACGGUACCUUGGGAAUAAGCAUCGGCUAACUACGUGCCAGCAGCCGCGGUAAAACGUAGGAUGCAAGCGUUAUCCGGAUUUACUGGGCGUAAAGCGCGUGUAGGCGGUUCGGUAAGUUGGAUGUGAAAGCUCCUGGCUUAACUGGGAGAGGUCGUUCAAUACUGCCGGGCUUGAAGAUGGGAGAGGGAGGUGGAAUUCCGAGUGUAGUGGUGAAAUGCGUAGACAUUCGGAGGAACACCAGUGGCGAAAGCGGCCUCCUGGACCAUUUCUGACGCUCAGACGCGAAAGCUAGGGUAGCAAACGG
rnacentral:rRNA from 1 species